rnacentral:rRNA from 1 species
AACGAACGCUGGCGGCAUGCCUAACACAUGCAAGUCGAACGAGACCUUCGGGUCUAGUGGCGCACGGGUGCGUAACGCGUGGGAACCUGCCCUUAGGUUCGGAAUAACUCCCCGAAAGGGGUGCUAAUACCGGAUAAUGUCUUCGGACCAAAGAUUUAUCGCCUUUGGAUGGGCCCGCGUUGGAUUAGCUAGUUGGUAGGGUAAAAGCCUACCAAGGCGACGAUCCAUAGCUGGUCUGAGAGGAUGAUCAGCCACACUGGGACUGAGACACGGCCCAGACUCGUACGGGAGGCAGCAGUGGGGAAUAUUGGACAAUGCGCGAAAGGCUGAUCCAGCAAUGCCGCGUGAGUGAUGAAGGACUUAGGGUUGUAAAGCUCUUUUACCCGGGAUGAUAAUGACAGUACCGGGAGAAUAAGCUCCGGCUAACUCCGUG